AAUGGCCAGGAUCCAAUCAACUCACUCAUCACAGGAAGAUGCAGAAAAAAGUCACAACGCAGAUGAGAGGACAAUCGACAGACACCAACACUGAAAUGAACCGGCGCUGCAAUGUCUGACAAAGACUUUAAAGCAACCAUCAUAAAAAUGCUUCCAUAGCAAUUAUACAUUCUCUUGAAACAAGUGAAAAAUGGAAAAUCUCAGCAAAGAAAUAGAUCCUAUGAAAAAGGACCAAGUGAAAAUGAUAGAAUCAAAAAAGGCAAUAAUUAAAACUUAAAACUUGCUGGAUGGGCUCAAUGGAGUGAAAAUUGCAGAGGAGAGAGAUAUGUAUUUGAGGACAGAUCACUAGAAUUUACCCAACCUGAACAAUGGAGAAGAAAAAAGAUUGAAAGAAACAAAAGCACUGUCUGGGGCACAGCGAAGAGAGGAGCCGACAUUCUUACCCACAGAGUCCCAGAAGGAAAGGAGGCAGCAUGAACUAAAACACCUUUCAAAGCAGAAUGGAUGGACUUCCCAAAUCCUGCAAAUGAAUAAACAAAUAAAUACUCAAGAUACUGAGUGAAUCCAAAAUUGGACAAAUCCAAAGAAAUCCAUGGCAAGGUGUAUAAUAAUUAAACUUCUGAAAAUUAAAAGCAGAGAAAACAUUCUUAAAAGCAGCCAGAAAUGACACUUUACUUACACGGAAAAGCCAAUUCCCAUGACAGGUUAUUUCUCAUCUGAAACCACAGAAGGAAGGAGAAAGCCAGAGCCACGGAAGGAAGAAAAAAACCAGAGGAAGUAACAGAACAUUUCCUAAGCACCAAAGAAAGAAACUGGCAACCAUACAUUUUUAUAUCCCUCAAAAAUCUCCUUCAGGAAUGAGGGAAAAUAAAGACAUUUUAAGAGGAAGAAAAGGUUGUCACUAGCAAAAAUACCUUUAAAUAAUGAAAGAAUUUCUACAAAUAAAAAUGAGGUUGAGCACGGUGGCUCAAGCCUGUAAUCCCAGCACUUUGGGAGGCCAAGGUGGGUGGAUCACGAGGUCAGGAGUUUGAGAUCACCCUGGCCAACACGGUGAAACUCAUCUCUACUAAAAAUACAAAAAAAAAAAACAAAAAAAAA
rnacentral:lncRNA from 1 species